rnacentral:tRNA from 1 species
GUCGAAAUGGCGACGCGACGGACGCGGCGGAUUCAAAAUCCGCCCGCGGGGGGUUCAACUCCCUCUUCGGCA